rfam:TPA: Bos taurus chromosome 27, whole genome shotgun sequence.
UCCCUGAUGGCUCAGAUGGUAAGGAAUCUGCCUGCGACGCAGGAGAGUCAGGUUCAAUCCCUGGGUCAGGGAA